rnacentral:rRNA from 1 species
GACGUAGGGUGCAAGCGUUGUCCGGAUUUAUUGGGCGUAAAGAGUUCGUAGGCGGUUUGUUAAGUCUGGUGUUAAAGACUGGGGCUCAACCCCAGCAUGGGCAUUGGAUACUGGCAGGCUAGAGUGUGGUAGAGGUCUCGGGAAUUCCAGGUGUGCGGUGAAAUGCGUAGAUAUCUGGAGGAACACCGGGCGGCGAAAGCGCGAGACUGGGCCAUAACUGACGCUGAGGAACGAAAGCCAGGGGAGCGAAAGGG